AAAAAUAAGUUUUUUAUCAUGCCAAAGCUUUAUUUGUUCUCGUUACUUUCAGAAAUCUACAAUAUAUUUAAAGCACAAAAGUCCAAUCCACACUUUUCAAAAGUUGUUCCCCUUUGCGGGGUCAACCCAAAGGUCAAAAGGGGAAAAAACCCCCAAAAUUCUCCUUCUUCAAACAAUCAAAUAUUUGGGCGAACUGUAAUGAAAUCUCUUUGGAUUUGAUUUAUUCAUUCAAUAUGUAGUGGCAACCCACAUAUUUAAUGAGUCAUUCAAACGGGGUUUUAAUGUCAACUGAUAUAGAUACAAACAUAUUGAUACAAAAUAUAUAAUUAUACAAACUUCUAUACGACAAAGACUACUGUGAUAAAUCUUUGGGUUUUCCCCAAAAGAUGACGACCAAGAGACACAGCAUUUGUAAAGUGUAGAUUGAGAUCACAGCUACGAUUACCACAGAAUUAUCCAUGUAGGAAACUCACGACCAGUUGUGCGAGUAAGCGUUAAGUAUUAGUGCAUGUAAUUAUGCGAUACUGGCCGCGGUUUUCGACAAACAUAAUUAUCAUACAUCACUAAUUGUUACAUGUAAUAUGCCACUUUCAAACGACGCCACCGUCUAACAGUACUUUCAGUACUUUGAUUUAAAGCAUUCAUUACUCAUAUACAUGAUUAAUGUUUAGUAAUUGGCGUUCAGUGUCCGACUAUUUAAAGUUAAUUGUAUCAAAACCAUGUAAAUAAUACAUAUGUAUAUUGUUUAUUAACUAGAUGUCUUCGUGACGUUUUGUUAGUACAAAGUCAGCUCAAAGUAUUUUCAAAAGUCAAUUAUGAAAGAUUUAAAAAUUGUUGUCAAAAUCCACGUAUUUUUAUUUUUAUUUUUUUUAUAGUUUUUUUUUUUUUACUUUUUUUGCCGAUAAAUUCAAACACAAAUAAAAAAAAAUAUAAAAGCUAUGUGAAACCAACAAAUCAUUCAUUUGAUAUGAUAUAAUUACUGAAUUUAUAACAUAAUUAUUGUAAAAUAUGUUUAUAUUAAAAGUUAAAAUAUUUGUUGAUGCUAACAAUAUUGUAGAUUCCUAUUAUCUACUAAUUUUGCGAUUUCGUCGUUUUUGUUGUUGUUUUUUUUAAAUCGCAAAAAUAUUAAAUUGCUAUUGCCGAUC
rnacentral:sRNA from 1 species